UAGAGACGGGGUUUCACCAUGUUGGUCAGGCAGGUCUGGAACUCCCGGCCUCAAGUGAUCCGCCCGCCUCGGCCUCCCAAAGUGCUGGGAUUACAGGCUUGAGCCACCGUGAUGGUUAAUUUUAAGUGUCAACUUGACUGGGCUAAGGGAUGCUCAAAUAGCUGGUAAAAUGUUAUUUCUAGGUGUAUUUGUGAGGCUGUUUCUGGAAGAGAUUAGUAUUUGAAUCAGUAGACUGAGUAAAGAAGACCGCCCUCACCGCUAUGGGCAGGCAUAAUUUAAUCUGUUAAGGACCUGAAUAGAAUAAAAAGGCAGAGGAAGGGCAAAUUUGCUCUUCUUUGAGGUGGGACACCAUAUUUUCCCUGCUUCAGACAUCCAUGCUCUGAUUCUUGCACCUUCAGACGCGGACUGGAACUACUCCAGCUUGCGGAGGGCAGAUCCUGGGUACUUCUCAGCGUCCAUAAUCAUGGGAGCUAAUGCCUCAUAAUAAAUCUUUUUCUAUAUCUCUGUAUAUCCAUCCUAUUGGUUCUGUUUCUCUGGAGAACGCUGGCUAACACCAUGGCACUUACUGCUUAUGUGCAAGAUUGUUGAACAUUCAUCUCUCCUACUUGGCUGUCAGCCCGGGGACAGGAGCUGUGUCUGUUUUGUUCUGUGCUGUGCUGUGUUUCCAGUGAGAGGGCUGGCCUAGGUGUUUCUCCGAAGUUCACUGAAUCUCCAAGCAGCGAGGUGUAUCUGGAAAGACAGCUCAAGAAUUAAGGGUGCUCACCCUUAAUUACACUCCAUUUUCCUCAGGACAGGCUGGAACAGAUUUGGGAUGGCGAGCCCCCAAACCAGCACUCUACAGAUUUCGGGACCCCUCUUAACUCAUUUCCCCCAUCCUCCCAAUGACGUCUAUUCGCCUGCAGCAGACCCGAAGGAAGCUUCGGCUCAAUGGUUCAUUUGCAUGCGCCCGUGCUAUUGGUCGGAGGGGCGGCACCGUAGCCAAUGGUGUGCAGGGGUGUUGACCGAGCCGCAGCUCUGCGCCGCCGGGUGAGGUAAUGGAAUCCUGGCUGGACCUGCUGCGGCUCCCUCCGGACUGGCUAGUGACGUAGCGGCUUCCCCGGCCCCACCCCGCCCAGCCCGGCCGCCCCCGGGAGCGCAGCUGGGGCUCGGCCCUGUUCCUUCCGGCCCGGCGUUCCGGUCGCGGGCCCCUCAGGGAGGACCCGCCGGGCCAGAUCCCAUCUCUGGCGACGCGGAGAAAAAUCUGGAAGCCGUCGUCGGAGGAUGACCAAAUCCUCGCUCCUCUGGGAGUGCGAUUACGGGCCUCUCACUUCGUAAAUCACGCAGGCCUGAAACGCUCACAUUUGUUUACCACGAGCAUGUUUGAUUUUGUAAUUUAACAAAUAAAAUUGCAGAGGAUUUUUAAGAGCCCUGGCCUGGAUUUAGGGGAAAUCUCGCAUUAAUUCCAGCUCUGCCAUUUCCGGUCUGGAGACCUUGGCCACUUUCUCUUGGGGCCCUGACGCCUUCCAUGG
rnacentral:lncRNA from 10 species